UACGGAGGGUGCGAGCGUUGUCCGGAAUCACUGGGCGUAAAGGGCGCGUAGGCGGCGCGAGUAGUCAACGGUGAAAGCCCGGGGCUCAACCCCGGGUCGGCCGUCGAUACUCUCGUGCUUGAGCACUGUAGAGGCAGGUGGAAUUCCGGGUGUAGCGGUGGAAUGCAUAGAGAUCCGGAAGAACACCGGUGGCGAAGGCGGCCUGCUGGGCAGUAGCUGACGCUGAGGCGCGACAGCGUGGGGAGCAAACAGG
rnacentral:rRNA from 1 species